GAUGAAGAACGUAGCGAAAUGCGAUAAGUAAUGUGAAUUGCAGAAUUCAGUGAAUCAUCGAAUCUUUGAACGCACAUUGCGCCCGCCAGUAUUCUGGCGGGCAUGCCUGUUCGAGCGUCAUUUCAACCAUCAAGCCCCCCGGCUUGUGUUGGGGACCUGCGGCUGCCGCAGGCCCUGAAAAGCAGUGGCGGGCUCGCUGUCACACCGAGCGUAGUAGAUCUCAUCUCGCUCAGGGCGUGCUGCGGGUUCCGGCCGUUAAACCACCUUCAUAACCCAAGGUUGACCUCGGAUCAGGUAGGAAGACCCGCUGAACUUAAGCAUAUCAAUAAGCAGGA
rnacentral:misc_RNA from 1 species